UGGAGCCACGGACCUCCACCGCCAGUUCUUCCAUAUUGGACACGCAAAGGAAGCCGGGACGACAGGUGCUCCUUAACGCAUCGGGGAGCUCUUCAAGGACCAUCGCUUAGGGAGCCUCACUAGAAUCUAGAUGGAUUCGCUGAAGGACUUUGUCUGAUUGGAGCUUCAGUUUCUUCUAUAACUGAAGUAAAAAGUCUGAUUGCCUCAGUGCCGAAGAAAGAGGCCUAAGAGGAGGAAUCCCCUUCUCUUUGUCAGAAGGAGCCCAUGUGGGAGCGGAGCGGCGGCGGGGAGAGGAAAGAGUUGAUUCAUGAAUCUGCAGCUUCAUCAGAGUCGGUCAAGCAGGAAAACCUGCUGCUGACCUUCCCAACGAGCACAGAGACCCGAACCUUCAAGGUCUAAAGGUUCCUCACCUUCUCCUCACUUCCUCUGUUCUUUCUUUUCUUCCUCCAUCACUUCCUUUUUCUGAACUCAGCUUAUUCUGAACCAAACCUUCCAGAUGAAUAAACGUCCUUCUCGGUCUACAGAUGGCCUUGGUGUUAAAGUAAAACCUGGGUGUUCUUCGGUAAAGGUACAGAAAACAGAAAUUACUCGUGAUUAUUUUAGUUAUCGAUUAAUCGAGGUUAUUUGUAUUGCA